rnacentral:rRNA from 1 species
GAUGAACGCUGGCAGAAUGCUUAACACAUGCAAGUCGACCUGAACCUCGGUUUGGGUGGCGGCCGGGUGAGUCACGCGUAAGGAACUUGCCUCACAGCUAGGGACAACAUUUGGAAACGGAUGCUAAUACCUGAUAUCAUGAUUUUAGGGCAUCCUAGAAUUAUGAAAGCUAUAUGCGCUGUGAGAGAGCUUUGCGUCCCAUUAGCUAGUUGGUGAGGUAACCGCUCACCAAGGCGAUGAUGGGUAGCCGGCCUGAGAGAGUGAACGGCCACACGGGGACUGAGAGACGGCCCUUACUGGUACAGGGGGCAGAAGUGGGGAAUAUUGGACAAUGGACCAAGAGUGUGAUCAAGCAAUUCUGUGUGUACGAUGAAGUUUUUCGGAAUAUAAAGAGCUUUCAGUUGAGAAGAAAAAAAUGACGAUACCAACAGAAGAAGUGACGGCUAAAUACGUG